rfam:Ipomoea nil DNA, scaffold: scaffold3322, cultivar: Tokyo-kokei standard.
GCUUUCUUAGCUAAGAUGUAGAGCUUGUGGGUUUUAACCACGUGGCCGUGGGUUCGAUCCCCAAAGACGGUG